rnacentral:rRNA from 1 species
UACAGAGGGGGCAAGCGUUGUUCGGAAUUACUGGGCGUAAAGGGCGCGUAGGCGGCCCGCUAAGUCGAACGUGAAAUCCCCGAGCUCAACUCGGGAACUGCGUCCGAUACUGGCGGGCUUGAAUCCGGGAGAGGGAUGCGGAAUUCCAGGUGUAGCGGUGAAAUGCGCAGAUAUCAGGAAGAACACCAAUGGCGAAAGCAGCUCUCUGGGACGGUACUGACGCUGAGACGCGAAAGCGUGGGGAGCGAACAGG